UACGGAGGGUGCAAGCGUUGUUCGGAAUCACUGGGCGUAAAGGGCGUGUAGGCGGUCUGUUAAGUCUGGUGUGAAAACUCGAGGCUCAACCUCGAGACGCCGGUGGAAACCGUAAAGCUAGAGUCCGGAAGAGGAGAGUGGAAUUCCUGGUGUAGCGGUGAAAUGCGCAGAUAUCAGGAAGAACACCCGUGGCGAAGGCGGCUCUCUGGGACGGUACUGACGCUGAGACGCGAAAGCGUGGGGAGCGAACAGG
rnacentral:rRNA from 1 species